AGUGAACGCUGGCGGUAGGCCUAACACAUGCAAGUCGAACGGCAGCACAGUAAGAGCUUGCUCUUACGGGUGGCGAGUGGCGGACGGGUGCGGAAUACAUCGGAAUCUACUUUUUCGUGGGGGAUAACGUAGGGAAACUUACGCUAAUACCGCAUACGACCUACGGGUGAAAGCAGGGGAUCUUCGGACCUUGCGCGAUUGUAUGAGCCGAUGUCGGAUUAGCUAGUUGGCGGGGUAAAGGCCCACCAAGGCGACGAUCCGUAGCUGGUCUGAGAGGAUGAUCAGCCACACUGGAACUGAGACACGGUCCAGACUCCUACGGGAGGCAGCAGUGGGGAAUAUUGGACAAAGGGCGCAAGCCUGAUCCAGCCAUACCGCGUGGGUGAAGAAGGCCUUCGGGUUGUAAAGCCCUUUUGUUGGGAAAGAAAAGCAGCAGGUUAAUACCCCGCUGUUCUGACGGUACCAAAAGAAUAAGCACCGGCUAACUUCGUG
rnacentral:rRNA from 1 species